UUUGACCUCAAAUCAGGUAGGACUACCCGCUGAACUUAAGCAUAUCAAUAAGCGGAGGAAAAGAAACCAACAGGGAUUGCCUCAGUAGCGGCGAGUGAAGCGGCAAAAGCUCAAAUUUGAAAUCUGGCGUCUUUGGCGUCCGAGUUGUAAUUUGAAGAAGGUAUCUUUGGGCCCGGCUCUUGUCUAUGUUCCUUGGAACAGGACGUCACAGAGGGUGAGA
rnacentral:rRNA from 1 species